rnacentral:rRNA from 1 species
UACAGAGGUGGCGAGCGUUAUUCGGAAUUACUGGGCGUAAAGGGUUCGUAGGUGGCCUACUAAGUCAUACGUGAAAUCCCUCAGCUUAACUGGGGAACUGCGUCUGAGACUGGAAGGCUUGAGUGCAGGAGAGGAACGCGGAAUUCCAGGUGUAGCGGUGAAAUGCGUAGAUAUCUGGAGGAACACCGGUGGCGAAGGCGGCGUUCUGGACUGCAACUGACACUGAGGAACGAAAGCCAGGGGAGCAAACGGG